rnacentral:rRNA from 4 species
CUUGACGACCAUAGAGCAUUGGAACCACCUGAUCCCAUCCCGAACUCAGCAGUGAAACGAUGCAUCGCCGAUGGUAGUGUGG